rnacentral:SRP_RNA from 1 species
GCUGGGCAUGGUGGUGCAUGCCUGUGGUCCCCACUACUUGGGAGGCUGAGGUGGGAGGAUUGCUUGAGCCUGGGAGUUCAAGGCUGCAGUGAGCCAUGAUCAUGCCACUGCAUUCCAGCCUGGGUGACAAAGUGAGACCCUGUCUUUU